UGGGACUAUCAGAAAAUAUCUAACAUUCAUGUCACCAGAAUCCAAGGAGAAGGAAAAGAAGUCAGGGCCAGAGAAUACUUGGAGAAAUAAAGGCUGAAAACUUUCCAAAUCUGGCAGGAGGUAUACACCUACCAAGUUGAGAAGCUGAGUCAACCUCAAACAGGACAAACUCAAAGAAUGCCAGGAUACAUCAUAAUUGAAGUUCUGAAAAAUAAAGACAGAGGAAACUCUUAAAGAAAAACAGCCAAGAAAAAUGAUGUUUUACGUAACCUGGGAAGACAACCCAAAUGACAGCAGAUUUCUCAUUGGACACCAUGGAAGACUGAAGGAAGUGAUACAACAUUUUUCAAGUGCUGAGAGAAAAGCCUUGGCAACUCAAAAUCUUACAUGCAGUGAAAAUUUGCCUCAGGAAUAAAGAGAAAAUCAAGACAUUCUUACAUUAUAGAAAAUAAAGAGAAUUUAUCAUCAGUAGACCUAUCCUAAAAUGAUGGAUAGAGUAAAUGCUCUAAAUAGAAGAGAAACGAUAAAAGAAGGAAACUUUAGAACAUCAGUAAGAAAUAAAGAACACAGUAAGCAAAAAUGCAGGAAGCUACUGAAGAUGCCCUCACCAGAGUGGGGAGGUAAACUAAGAAAGAUUAUAGAGGACAGAAGGAAGAGGAGAUUUAAAACAGGAGAGGAAAAGGGGGGAAUUUUCAAGAGGAGGAAGAAGAGAGUUUCCUAAUCAUAACUGGGCACCAGGAAACCUCUAGAGGAUGUUCUCCAAUAAAAAAAAGAAGAAGAAGAAGAAGAAAGAAGAACAUACAAGUUCAGAAAGCCCACCCAGGCCUGGAAUAAGUACAAAACUAAUCCAAAAACAGCACUAUCCAGCCAGCCUGGAGGGAAGAAAAAAGGUCUCAAGGGCAUUUUCUCAAAAAAUAUACACAAGAACUGAUAGGUUGGCUAUUGUGAUUGGCUUUAUGCAAUGUUUAUUCAAAAAGGCCAUUCGAGGAGAUGGAAAUAAUUAAAAAUAUAUACAAAGAAAACUAAGCAAAUUUAAAAAACAG